rnacentral:lncRNA from 1 species
AGACGUUCCAUGCGGCAGCCACUGGCCGGCCGCUCCCUCGGGGGCCGGUGCGCACUUGGAGAGGACAGACGUCAGGCUCGGCCCGGCUCCUGCAGCGAGGGCGUCACAGCGCUCUGUGGUGUCCUCAUCCCUUGGGCCUCUCUGGGCUGCUGACCGCGGGUGGCUGGAAGGACAGUGAGCCCCAGUAAGGGCGUUAGGCUGUCAGGUUCCGCGGCGCUGAGUUCAGCCCCAGGGAGUUGUGCGUGCAUGUGGCCAGGCGGUGGCUGCGUGAGUCGGCUGCACUUGUUUUUUCAGCCAUUGUUCUCUGGCUUCAGAGGAAAUGACGGCAGGGGUCAGCUGGCAUCCCAGGGUGGACAGACGGCUAUAUCCUCAAGCUUGUCACCCCUGCCCUGGCCCUGCUCUGGCCCGGGCCCUCUCCCAAGUGGUGCUGGCCCCUCCCACUCCAGCCACUGGUUUCACUCCCCAGAGUUUGCUCAGCCAAAUCUUUAUUUUCCCCAGAAGGUUAACACGGGGACAUUGAGUCAUUAGCUAAGACUGGAAGCACAGGGAGCCAGAGGCCCGAGGAAGAAAACCCACGGGGAUCGGUUGGGGUGGUGAAGCUAUGGGCAUGACCAAGAGCUGCUGGUGGUCCCCCCCGAAGCUAGCGAGCGCACUUGCCUUUUCUGUUCCCUACAGGCAGGCAGUAUGCUAUGUAGACACUGUAAAAUACCUCUGCCACCACAAAGUGCCCAGAGCAUUCUCAGGGGCUGUCACACUGCUCUAUGAGGGCUGCUUGGUCACCUUUCACACUGUCUGUCCCUAGGAUAGGCCAGUCUAUGUACUAGGUGAUGGCUACAGUCCAUGUCCUCUCCUUCUUGGCCACGCCCUCAGCUCUCCUCCUUUCCCUUCUCCCAGUCCUCAGCCACAGACUGAGGAGAGCUGUGUACAGAAGGGAAAGGAGGAUGGUGUGGUGGUUUCAAGCAAGACCUCUCAAGCCGGGAUGCCUGCCUGGCCUUAAGCAGUGACUAUUACUCCGAUGUGGUGGGUAAGUCAUUUACACUCUGCACAUCCUAGCACUUGGGAGGCUGACGCAGGAGGAUUGCUUUGAAUUCCAGGCUAGCAUGGGUUACAUAGAGAGUUCCAAUCAGCUUUGAAUUUUGAAACCUUGUCUAAAGCAUUUUUGAAACCUUGUCAUAGGCUGCUCAGACAAGUCAAUAAUAGUAUUUAUUUACUUAUCUUUAUGUGUAUGAGUGUGUUGUCAGACUGUUAUGUCUGUGUGUCACAUGCAUGCCUGCUGUUCAUGGAGUCCAGAAGAGGGCAUCGGAUCCCCUGGAACUGGAGUUACAGAUGAGUGGCCAUGUGAAUGUUAAGAACCAAACCUGGGUCCUCUGAAAGAGCAGACAAUGCUCUUAACUACUGAGCUGUCUCUCCAGCCCCAAAGAAGUAGCUAAGUUAGUGCAUACACGGUGAAUAAAACAUGCUCUAUUUCAUGUAGAGGGUAAGCUAUUAAUAGUAUUUCUAUCUCCCCAGGGAUUAAUGAAUUGAGGGGGCUUUUUCUGUAGCCAGUCAUGAAAGAAUGAAGCCCCUGCUUUGUUUCUCUCUUUCUGGGGGGCAAAACCAUGUCCUCUUAAGUCUCCCCACCUCUCUUCUCCUCACAGGGUUGCACUGCACUGCCCUGGCCAACCUCAAAUUCUCAGUCCUUCUACCUCAGGCCAGGCUCCCAUAGGCUGGGAUAAGAGGCGUGCUGC